UACGGAGGGGGCUAGCGUUGUUCGGAAUUAUUGGGCGUAAAGCGCGCGCAGGCGGUCCUUUAAGUCUGAUGUGAAAGCCCACGGCUCAACCGUGGAGGGUCAUUGGAAACUGGGGGACUUGAGUGCAGAAGAGGAAAGCGGAAUUCCACGUGUAGCGGUGAAAUGCGUAGAGAUGUGGAGGAACACCAGUGGCGAAGGCGGCUUUCUGGUCUGUAACUGACGCUGAGGCGCGAAAGCGUGGGGAGCAAACAGG
rnacentral:rRNA from 1 species